rnacentral:rRNA from 1 species
UACGUAGGUGGCAAGCGUUGUCCGGAUUUACUGGGCGUAAAGGGAGCGUAGGCGGAUUUUUAAGUGGGAUGUGAAAUACUCGGGCUCAACCUGAGUGCUGCAUUCCAAACUGGAGAUCUAGAGUGCAGGAGGGGAGAGUGGAAUUCCUAGUGUAGCGGUGAAAUGCGUAGAGAUUAGGAAGAACACCAGUGGCGAAGGCGACUCUCUGGACUGUAACUGACGCUGAGGCUCGAAAGCGUGGGGAG